GCCUUCGUGGUGUAGUGGUCAACACGCUGGACACGUGUUCGAGAGGUCUGUGGUUCGAAUCCCGGCGAGGGGA
rfam:Stegodyphus mimosarum contig57167, whole genome shotgun sequence.